CGGCGCGUAGCCUAGUGGCUUCAGGCACUCCGUUUGGGGCGGAGACGACGCAGGUUCGAGCCCUGCCGUGCCGA
rnacentral:tRNA from 1 species